ACCAAAAAAUGAGUGUGCUCCGAAAACACCAAACAGGAGUACGGGAAGUAUAAAUAGUCAGUGCUAUUUUCAGCCCAGAAAUAAGCGAGCCAUCACCUCCUGACUUGUGCCGCUUCAGGGCCUUAGCUGCCUCACAGCAUGGAUGACUAACUCCCCAGAGGCAUCCUUUCUCCGAGACGGGGAAGGUGAGGCAAUCAUCACCCUAGUCUUCCUGACCUCAGACAGGGCCUCUCCACGGCUUGGUUCUGUUUUCACAGCCCUUCAUGUAGCAAGAAGCAUAUAAAAUAAUGCCGAGAAUAAGCCGUGAUCCGGGAAUAGGACAAGAACCUUCUUCCAUCCCCAAAGCUCCAGCAACAUCAAGGAAGAGAGAAGAGAAAGAAUUGCAAUUAGUCCUGUUAAGAGGAGGCGGUAAAGAAAACAGAAGCAAGCAGCAGUAGGAAGCCCUGUACAAUGACAGAACUUAUCUGAGCUACACCAAGCUGCUUCUGCCAGCCGGGACCAACAACUUCAGUCGCCGCCCCCCCCCCCCUCGUCCCCGUGUUCUCAAGGAAAACUACAGAGCGGACUGGGGCCUGGCCGUGCUCAUGAUGGGAUGGAUAAGGCAUGCGCAGAGAGCAGGCUAGGGCCUGGCAGUUGCUCACGUUGAACUACGGACCCUUUCCUGUCAGUGCUGUCUGGCCAAGCUACAUGGAAGUCACGAAGGGCGCUAUGGAAGCUAACAGUGGACAAAGGAAACUGAAUAAGAUGGGUGGGUUUUCCAUGCUCUGUAGGGACCUCCAUCACAGAAGGCACUAUAUGAGGAAAAGAACCAGCUCCCACUCAGAGACAAGGUAAUGACUCACAGGCAGGGAAGCUCAGACCAGAGAAUUCUGACAGAGAAUGGACUUGUCUGAGGACAUUGACUUAACUUGUUUCAGUUGCUGAGACUGAAGGAAACUGACAGGGAGGGUAAUUAAUCUGAGUGAAGGAAGAAAUACUGACCCAAGUGAGGAAGAAAUACUGACAGAGAGUAAAACAGCCUCAUACUUCAGAUUAGUGCUUAUUUUAUUUUAUUAAUUUAUUCAUUUGAAUUCGGUCUUUACUUUCCUAUUUUUAUUUUAUAUCUUAUUAUUAUUGAUAACUUGGUUCUUUGAUUGUUUUAUUGUUGUAUUUUGGCUUGAGUAUUGCUGAAAGAAGAUGAUGAUUGUGCUAGUUAGUUUUUAUGUCAGUUUGACACA